ensembl:lncRNA
CCCGUCCAUUGGAGUUGGUCUGCAUUGACUUUUGGUCGGCUGAGAACUCCAAAAACAGAUCUGUCGAUGUUUUGGUGAUAACUGACCAUUUCACGAGGAUGGCUCAAGCGUUUUCAUGUAAAGACCAGACAGCUAAGCAGGUGGCUAGGGUUCUAUGGGACCGGUACUUCUGUGUCUUCGGAUUCCCGGAAAGGAUCCAUAGUGAUCAAGGUGCUAACUUUGAGAGUCUGCUGAUUAGUGAGCUUCUCAGGGUCUCAGGUGUCAAGAAGUCGCACACAACUCCUUACCACCCAAUGGGGAAUGGGAGUGUGGAACGUUUCAACCGGACCUUGGGUGGCAUGAUUCGAGUAUUGCCCCCUGAAGAGAAGGCUGACUGGCCGCGACGCUUGCAGACUCUGACGUUCAUGUACAAUUGCACGGAACAUGAGACGACAGGUUAUUCCCCCUUCUACCUCAUGUUUGGCCGGAUCCCCCGCCUACCCGUUGAUGUCCUCUUUCGUGCUGUUCUUCAUGACUCUGCUGUAAUGAGCUAUGAGAAGUACGUGGCGAGUCUCGCCAAUGAUCUGAAAGAAGCAAUGGUUAUUGCUCAGGUCCAUGCUACAAAAGAGCAGAAUCGACAUACCCAGCUGUACAACAGGAGAGUAAAGGGAUCCAAUAUCAAGAUCGGUGACAGGGUGCUCUUGGCCAACAGAAAGGAAAGGGGUAAAAGAAAGCUUGCUGACAGGUGGGACUCGACCGUCUACACCGUGGUGGACGUGAAUACAGAGACGCACACGUACAGAGUCCGCGACACAAUCACUGGACGGGAGAAGGUGAUCCACAGAAACUUGCUGUUGCUGGUUAAUUUUCUCCCUGUGGGGGACACAGGUGAAAUGUCUGACCUGGCCUCAUCCUUGCUAGUUACAGGAUCCUCAGCUUCAGGAGAUGAUGGUGGUGAGGCCGAAGAGAUCUCGUCUGGGAGAGGGGAUGAGCCUCGUAAUGUGGCCAGUGAAAGCCUUGACACUGAAAGUGGCGGAGAACCUCCUGUGACUGUGAGAGAUGGACCCUUGACUGAUGCGGUAUCUGUGGAUUCGGAAAGGAGAACCAUUGAAUGGAUUACUCAGUUGUCUGUGCCAAGUCUGGCCGAGGCGGGCACUGCUGACAUGUCGAGUGUUACUUCUGACCUCCAGAACACCGCUGUCUCACUUGAGGACCACACAAACGAUCAGUCUGUGACUUGUGAUUCUUGCCCUUUGACUGCUGCGGAUGUCUCAACAGAUGUGAGACAGUCAGAUUUUGCGCUUGACACCAUGACACAGACGGAUAACACAUCUGACACGUUGCAUACUGUGGUUCGGGUUUCACCCACACACUGUGGUCGUUUUAAUGCACAGGCCAGGUCAAGGUUUGGUCGCUUAAUCAAGCCUGUGAACAGGCUCAUACAGACCAUGUCCAGGCAGGAUGUUGUCCAGGAGUAGCUCAAUGUUGAGGCUGUUUGCAACUCCAUGUUCCAGAUUUGUACUUUUUAAAACCAUAAGUCGGUAGCUUAUGUCUUUACGAGUCUGGAAAGUGUUGUAUUAGUAUGAUGUCCCACUGUUCUGUUUCUCUUGUGUCAUCAGCCUGUGCUGCACUGCACUUUGUGUUUGGGUCUUGUGGGGUGUACAAGGCACCCUGUUGCCAGUUGUUGGGUUGAGAGGCUAGCGCUGCUCUCGUACCACUUCAUCCUUAUGGGAUACAUUUUAUGUUGGUUUUCUUGAAGUUGGCCCUUUGUAAGUUGUCAAAUUGUAAUGUUUUCUUUGGCGUGCACUUUGUAGUUAGUGCUCAUGUUUGAUAAAAUUCAGUGGGGGUGAAUGUAACGGAGUUAGAAAUACACUCUGUUAUUUCUUAUUUUUGAUGUAUUAUAUCUUAUUUUUGUUUAUUAUUCAACGAUCCUGUUGAAGUGUGUGUUUGUGUG